rnacentral:rRNA from 1 species
AUUGAACGCUGGCGGCAUGCCUUACACAUGCAAGUCGAACGGCAGCGGGGACUUCGGUCCGCCGGCGAGUGGCGAACGGGUGAGUAAUAUAUCGGAACGUACCAUUGAGUGGGGGAUAACGUAGCGAAAGUUACGCUAAUACCGCAUAUUCUCUCCGGAGGAAAGCAGGGGACCGCAAGGCCUUGCGCUCUUUGAGCGGCCGAUAUCAGAUUAGCUAGUUGGUGAGGUAAAGGCUCACCAAGGCGACGAUCUGUAGCGGGUCUGAGAGGAUGAUCCGCCACACUGGAACUGAGACACGGUCCAGACUCCUACGGGAGGCAGCAGUGGGGAAUUUUGGACAAUGGGGGCAACCCUGAUCCAGCCAUGCCGCGUGAGUGAAGAAGGCCUUCGGGUUGUAAAGCUCUUUCGGUUGGGAAGAAAUCGCACGGGCUAAUACCCUGUGCGGAUGACGGUACCAACAUAAGAAGCACCGGCUAACUACGUGCCAGCAGCCGCCGUAAUAC